UACGGAGGAUGCAAGCGUUAUCCGGAAUGAUUGGGCGUAAAGGGUCCGCAGGUGGCAGUGUAAGUCUGCUGUCAAAGAAUGAGGCUUAACCUCAUCAAGGCAGUGGAAACUACACAGCUAGAGUACGGUCGGGGUAGAAGGAAUUCCUGGUGUAGCGGUGAAAUGCGCAGAUAUCAGGAGGAACACCGGUGGCGAAGGCGGGAUCCUGGGCCAGUACUGACGCUGAGGAGCGAAAGCGUGGGGAGCAAACAGG
rnacentral:rRNA from 1 species